CACAGUUUUAAGUCCCAGCCUAAAGCUGAGUGAGCUAGUAGAACAGGCAGGAAUGGGGUUUUAUGAAGAUACCCACACUUGCUUCAGCUCUUUGACGAGUUAUAUGUAUUUUGUGUAAGACCGGUUAUAGAGUCAGUAAAACCGGUCACUUCUUUCAGAAGUACAGGAAGCAGUGAUUAGAGAAGGAAAGCACAUGGGCAGGUCAUCCGAGGAAAAAAGAUGAGUGUUUAUGCUGACCCUCUACUCUGUUACUGGUGGUGGAAAAAAGCUAGCCUCACUUACCACCACUCUCCCAGGAACCAGGUUAAAGGAGCAGACCCCAUUCAGACACGCCAUUCUUACGGCAGAGCAAAAAAGAGCAAGAGGGCUGGCAGAAAAAAGCGAUGCCUCUUAAUGCUUUUACUGUGAUGUGGUGUGUGUCUAAUUCACUCACGUUCUUUUGGUCAAAGCAUAUCACAAGGCCAAGCCCAGUAUCAGUGAGGAGGUGUGGAUACUGCAGGAGAUGUGGCAGUGAUUGGAGAUGUAUCAUCGUCUUGUGGGGAAGAGUGGAGAUAGUAACACAAUCUACGAGGGAAGAUUCCUUCCUUGUGAUCUUGCUAGCGCAGCAUAAAGCAUUUUAUGGAUCAUAGUUGUAACUCAGCACCUUUCAGGUUUCUUCCUCAAUUGCAGUGAAGAGAGAGAGAACCCAAGGAAAGCUGAGGUCAAGCAUCUUCUAGCAACGCAGUCCUGUUCUCAGAGAGUGCAAUAGUCUUUUCUCUGUAGGGGACUUCUUACUGUACUCUUAACAGCAUGAUUUGAUUAGACCAGAAACUGUACAAAUUACCCAAAGCAAAGAACAUGCUGGAAUCAUGAGACUGAAGGGCUGUUACCCACCAUAAGAGCAGCAGCCUGUGAGCCCCUUUCUUGACUAUAUUCUGAAGACUGAACGUUUGGCCGUCAGUUACAUUUGUAUGUAUAUACUCUUAUAUACAUAUUUAUGCAGGAAUG
rnacentral:lncRNA from 1 species